UAGGGAAUCUUCGGCAAUGGGGGCAACCCUGACCGAGCAACGCCGCGUGAGUGAAGAAGGUUUUCGGAUCGUAAAGCUCUGUUGUAAGAGAAGAACGUGUGUGAGAGUGGAAAGUUCACACAGUGACGGUAACUUACCAGAAAGGGACGGCUAACUACGUGCCAGCAGCCGCGGUAAUACGUAGGUCCCGAGCGUUGUCCGGAUUUAUUGGGCGUAAAGCGAGCGCAGGCGGUUUAAUAAGUCUGAAGUUAAAGGCAGUGGCUUAACCAUUGUUCGCUUUGGAAACUGAUAACCUUGAGUGCAGAAGGGGAGAGUGGAAGUCCAUGUGUAGCGGUGAAAUGCGUAGAUAUAUGGAGGAACACCGGUGGCGAAAGCGGCUCUCUGGUCUGUAACUGACGCUGAGGCUCGAAAGCGUGGGGAGCAAACAGG
rnacentral:rRNA from 1 species